GGUUCCAAAGCUUAGUGGUUAGAGCACUGGUCUUAUAAACUAGGAGUUCAGAAUUCAAUCCUUGCUGGACCCU